rnacentral:rRNA from 1 species
UACGGGGGGAGCAAGCGUUGUUCGGAUUUACUGGGCGUAAAGGGCGCGUAGGCGGCCAGCACAAGUCAGUUGUGAAAUCUCCGAGCUUAACUCGGAAAGGUCAACUGAUACUGUGCGGCUAGAGUGCGGAAGGGGCAACUGGAAUUCUUGGUGUAGCGGUGAAAUGCGUAGAUAUCAAGAGGAACACCUGCGGCGAAGGCGGGUUGCUGGGCCGACACUGACGCUGAGGCGCGAAAGCAUGGGUAGCGAACAGG